UACGUAGGGACCGAGCGUUGUCCGGAAUCAUUGGGCGUAAAGAGCGUGUAGGCGGCCCUUUAAGUCCUGCGUGAAAUCCUGCGGCUCAACCGCAGACGGUCGUGGGAAACUGGAGGGCUAGAGUCCGGAAGAGGAGAGUGGAAUUCCUGGUGUAGCGGUGAAAUGCGCAGAUAUCAGGAAGAACACCCGUGGCGAAGGCGGCUCUCUGGGACGGUACUGACGCUGAGACGCGAAAGCGUGGGGAGCGAACAGG
rnacentral:rRNA from 1 species